UUAUUAUGGUAUCGGUUUUGGCAAGUCCUAAAAUGGGUUCUCUAUAUACAUUGCUAAAAUAACUUUGCUUUUAUUUCUGCUAUUAACAAAAACUUGGACAUAGUAGUGGUGGUAGCUGAUCUAGUUAGGAGUGAACUGUCUGUUUGGUCGGGAUAACAUCCAGUGAACAUGGCAUGAGCACCCUGCUGUUGAUAUGCCAACUAUCAGCAUCUGCCAUCUGAAGAAAGUGUGGACCAAGGCCCAGACUGGAAGUGAUCAAGAGAGGGAACCAAAACCACAGCCAAAAAACCCUCCUGCUCUGUCCUAGGGUGAUGUUAGGAUGCUUGUAUCCCCAUUUGUGUGUGCUGUUUAUGCUGGAUAUUAUGUUCGGUGCCUUCAAGACUGGCUUUGAAGAGUGAAUGUUUUAUUUUGAUUUCUUAUCAGCCGCUCCCCCAUGGCUGGCAGGACACAGACGGGCAGUACACAGUGCUGCUUUUGCUUUUUGCUUUGCUCUCGCUCUUGCUUCUGCUUUGCUUCUGCUUUGCUCUUGCUUUGCUCUUGCUUUUUCCUUCUAGUCAUUAGCUAGUUUAGCAAAGCAGUUUGAAUUUUUUCCCUGGACUGUUUCUCCUUUCUCUUUUUUGGACCUACUCGAGUCUGCUCUGGACUGGGACCUGGGAAACACCGAGAGUUUGCACCUGGAGGCUGCAGCAGCUGCCCCAGCACCAGAGGGACUGAUAACAGAGCGACCACCCCAGGACAGACUUUCUGAAUUUGUCAUCUUUUUCAGAGCAGUGAAAGAGUGGUGUCACCUGGUAUUGUUCAUUUUGUGUGCUGGGGGUGCUGUGCCUGUUAAAUAAACAGGUUCUUUCCACUUCUCUCCGAGGAAUUCUUCCCAAACCAGUUGGGGGGAGGGCCUGUGUGGGUUUGCUUUCUGGAGGGGCCCCCGCUUUUGGGGAUUCUCUCCCAAAUUUGCCCUAAACCAGGACAGAAUGGUGUAGACGGUGUUAGAAUAAGGGGUGGAUUAUGUCCUAGGUUCCAAUAUAAAAAUGUGUUCUAUUCCCACCUCAAGAGCUGUUGAAAACAGGAGGGGCACUGUCGCUAUAGGACAGGAAAUAACACAACGCGGACACACAGCUCUCCAAGUUAAUGGACCCAUCAAUGCCUUGCCCCAUGACUCAGAGGUAACCCCCUCCAGGAGCCAUUUCUGUUUAAUGGGCACUCAAGGACCAAUCAUGACUCAGAACGAUAUCAGCCCAUUGGAAGAUGCUCCGCCCAGGGGGAGGAGCUCAGCAUCCCCACCUGGAUAUCAUCUGGGCUGUGGGACAGAACAGGCAGCCCUUACCCACUGGUUUCCAGAGGACAAGAGCUACCAGAUCCUUUCUACGGGAUCACCACUUCAACAAGACCAUUUCAUCUGGACUGCUGCCACCAGCCUAACUAGCAGGGUGUCAGGCUGUGUUCUGACUCUUUCAGUGUUCUUAUUUUGUAUUAUUGCAAGUAUUUGGAGUUUUUUUGCCCUUUUCCUAAUAAAUUGUAUUUCUGA